rnacentral:rRNA from 1 species
GAGUUUGAUCCUGGCUCAGGAUUAACGCUGGCGGCGUGCCUAAUACAUGCAAGUCGAACGGAAGCCUUCGGGCUUUAGUGGCGAACGGGUGAGUAAUACGUAGGUAACCUGCCGAUAAGACGAGGAUAGCCAUUGGAAACGAUGGGUAAUACUGGAUAGGACAUCAUGAUAAGCAUUUAUAGAUGUUUAAAGGAGCAAUCCGCUUAUUGAGGGGCCUGCGGCGCAUUAGCUAGUUGGUAGGGUAAAGGCCUACCAAGGCGAUGAUGCGUAGCCGGACUGAGAGGUUGAACGGCCACAAUGGGACUGAGAACGGCCCAUACUCCUACGGGAGGCAGCAGUAGGGAAUUUUCGGCAAUGGGCGAAAGCCUGACCGAGCAACGCCGCGUGAACGAAGAAGUAUUUCGGUAUGUAAAGUUCUUUUAUUUGGGAAGAAAGAGAAAUUAAUGACGGUACCAAAUGAAUAAGCUCCGGCUAACUACGUGCCAGCAGCCGCGGUAAUACGUAGGGAGCGAGCGUUAUCCGGAAUUAUUGGGCGUAAAGGGUGCGUAGAUGGUUUGAAAAGUCUUUUGUAAAAACGCUGGGCUCAACCCAGUAGGGCAAAAGAUACUUUCGAACUAGAGUACGGAAGAGGCAAGUGGAACUUCAUGUGUAGCGGUAAAAUGCGUAAAUAUAUGGAAGAACACCAGUGGCGAAGGCGGCUUGCUGGGCCUGUACUGACAUUGAGGCACGAAAGCGUGGGGAGCAAACAGGAUUAGAUACCCUGGUAGUCCACGCCCUAAACGAUGAGUACUAAGUGUUGCCGUAAGGCAGUGCUGAAGUUAACGCAUUAAGUACUCCGCCUGAGUAGUACGUACGCAAGUAUGAAACUUAAAGGAAUUGACGGGAGCCCGCACAAGCGGUGGAGCAUGUUGUUUAAUUCGACGAUACGCGAAGAACCUUACCAGGCCUUGACAUCUUAAGCGAAGCUAUAGAGAUAUAGUGGAGGUUAGCUUAAAGACAGGUGGUGCAUGGUUGUCGUCAGCUCGUGUCGUGAGAUGUUGGGUUAAGUCCCGCAACGAGCGCAACCCUUAUUUUUAGUUACCAUCAUUAAGUUGGGGACUCUAGGAAGACUGCCAGUGAUAAAUUGGAGGAAGGUGGGGAUGACGUCAAAUCAUCAUGCCCUUUAUGACCUGGGCUACAAACGUGCUACAAUGGCUGAAACAAAGAGAAGCAAAAUCGCGAGAUGGAGCAAACCUCAAAAAAGCAGUCUCAGUUCGGAUUGAAGUCUGCAACUCGACUUCAUGAAGUUGGAAUCGCUAGUAAUCGCGAAUCAGAAUGUCGCGGUGAAUGCGUUCUCGGGCUUUGUACACACCGCCCGUC